GGAAUAUUGCACAAUGGAGGAAACUCUGAUGCAGCAACGCCGCGUGGAGGAUGACGCAUUUCGGUGUGUAAACUCCUUUUAUAUAGGAAGAUAAUGACGGUACUAUAUGAAUAAGCACCGGCUAACUCCGUGCCAGCAGCCGCGGUAAUACGGAGGGUGCAAGCGUUACUCGGAAUCACUGGGCGUAAAGCGCAUGCAGGCGGUUUAUUAAGUUGGAAGUGAAAUCCUAUGGCUCAACCAUAGAACUGCUUCCAAAACUGAUAAACUAGAGUCUGGGAGGGGAAGAUGGAAUUAGUAGUGUAGGGGUAAAAUCCGUAGAGAUUACUAGGAAUACCAAAAGCGAAGGCGAUCUUCUGGAACAGUACUGACGCUGAGAUGCGAAAGCGUGGGGAGCAAACAGGAUUAGAUACCCUGGUAGUCCACGCAGUAAACGAUGAAUGUUAGUCGUUGGGACUCUAGUAGUUUCAGUGAUGCAGUUAACACAUUAAACAUUCCGCCUGGGGAGUACGGUCGCAAGAUUAAAACUCAAAGGAAUAGACGGGGACCCGCACAAGUGGUGGAGCAUGUGGUUUAAUUCGAAGAUACGCGAAGAACCUUACCUAGCCUUGACAUACUACAGAAUUUGACAGAGAUGUUGAAGUGCCUUCGGGAGCUGUAAUACAGGUGCUGCACGGCUGUCGUCAGCUCGUGUCGUGAGAUGUUGGGUUAAGUCCCGCAACGAGCGCAACCCUCGUCCUUAGUUACUAACGGUUCGGCCGAGGACUCUAAGGAGACUGCCUUCGUAAGGAGGAGGAAGGUGAGGACGACGUCAAGUCAUCAUGGCCCUUACGGCUAGGGCAACACACGUGCUACAAUGGUUAGGACAAUGAGAAGCGAUACCGCGAGGUGGAGCAAAUCUAUAAACCUAAUCUCAGUUCGGAUAGCAGUCUGCAACUCGACUGCUUGAAGCUGGAAUCACUAGUAAUCGUAAAUCAGCUAUGUUACGGUGAAUACGU
rnacentral:rRNA from 1 species